UAAACACACAACAAAACAAAAAACGCAACUACAAUUGAGAAAAACGUACGUGUUGCAAUUUAAACUAAACAAGUACAACAUUGAAUGCGUAUUUAAAUGCGACAGCUAAGCAACAGUAUUUUUGCUCAAGAUUACAACUAAUACAACUAUAUAUCUAUAUAUAUAUAUACCAUAUAAUAUAUGCAGUGAUUAUUUGUUGCAUUUGUUUUCGAAUACCAAAUAAAAUAUUAAACACACAACAAAAGGAAGAGAACCGAACGCAGCGAGCUUAAGCCAACAAAACGUAGUACGACUAGUAAAAGACACCACCAAUUUAAUUUUGCGCAGCAACUAAGCAGCAUAAAUAUUAAUUAGCCAAAAUCUAAUAGAUAUAUAUGUAUAUAUA